ensembl:snoRNA SNORA70 Small nucleolar RNA SNORA70
UAGCAGCCAAUUAAGCCGACUGUGUUCUUUUCCCCAUGGGAAAAGUGCGCAAUGGCUGCAAACAGCGGCCUCCUUGGUAGUGUACCAGCCUGUUGCCUGUAUGGGUUGCCCUAAGGGACCUUGGAGACAUCU